ACCUAUGUAGUGAUAUAUAGCUGAAUUAUCAGAAGUCAGCAGAGGUCAUAGUACCCGAGUUAAUCGCGAUAGCAAAGGGAAGGA
rnacentral:ncRNA from 1 species